ACGUGGGUGAUCUGCCCUGCACUUUGGGAUAAGCCUGGGAAACUGGGUCUAAUACCGAAUAUGACCGCAUGCUUCAUGGUGUGUGGUGGAAAGCUUUUGCGGUGUGGGAUGGGCCCGCGGCCUAUCAGCUUGUUGGUGGGGUAAUGGCCUACCAAGGCGACGACGGGUAGCCGGCCUGAGAGGGUGACCGGCCACACUGGGACUGAGAUACGGCCCAGACUCCUACGGGAGGCAGCAGUGGGGAAUAUUGCACAAUGGGCGCAAGCCUGAUGCAGCGACGCCGCGUGGGGGAUGACGGCCUUCGGGUUGUAAACCUCUUUCAG
rnacentral:rRNA from 1 species